rfam:Oryza sativa Japonica Group DNA, chromosome 2, cultivar: Nipponbare, complete sequence.
UAUAAAUGUAAGUAUCACUUUCUACGUCUAACUUUAAUUGUCCGUCUUAUUUAAAAUUUUUUUAUAAUUAAUAUAUUUUAUUAUUAUAAGAUGAUAAAACAUGAAUAGUACUUUACCCGUGACUUAUGUUUUAAUUUUUUUAAAAAAUAAGAUAAACUAUUAAAGUUGGGCGUGGAAAACUACGACUACAUUUAAA